UUGAUGUGUGGCAUGCUUUGCUUUUAGAAGUGUUGGUCUAGAGGUGAGGCCACUCUCCCUAGAGUCAAGAGGAUCCAUCGCAUGGGGAAAACCUGUACAGACAACUUACCAAUUGGGAAAUCCUACCCCAAGGAGUUAGCAGUUGUAUACAAGGUGAAGCUGCCUGGCCAGUGUGAGCCCUUUGGGGAUCUUCUCACAUUUGUCCUUGUGUUCCUCCAAACUAACAGCUGGAGCUGAAUUUCAGUGCCAGGAUCUGACUGCAAAUACCAGAGACAAACACAACCAGUUGUGAGUGAUAGAAACUAAUUCAAACCAGCUUAUACUAAGGGGAACUGACCAGAUUUAUAACUGAAAAAUCCUGAGGAUUCGUGGAUGGAUGGCUGCAUGCUCUCAAACAAUGACUUGGUUAAUGGACCUCCUUACCUCCUGGCUUCCUGUCCAUUGUGUUGGCCUUGCACUCUUGUGAUGACUCAUCUUUGAAUGUCCCCAGAAGACCUUGGUAUAGUCUACCAACUUAGCAUCCACACAAGAAAAAACAGUAACUUCUUGAGCCUGGUUCAUUUGGUGUCCUUCUUCCGUCAGUCAGAGAACUGUGUGAACCACAUGGAAGACACAACCUGCCCACCACCAUCAAAGAUACUGAGCCUGUGGUAUCUGUUAGGAUUUGAAUGAGAAGUGCUCCUUAUGGGCCCAUGCACUAGAAUACUCAGUCACAGUUUGUGCCAUUGUCCUGGACGGUUAUAGCUCCUUUACCACCUAGGACAUAACCAGCAAAUAACAAACUUUGAAGCUGAGAGGCCAUCCCUUGCUCUCAGACCCAUCUCUGAUUUCCUGAUCUGCCAAGAUGUGAACAAACAAAGCCACGUGCCUUCCCUAACUGCCAGGAUGGCAACACUCACUGAGAUCAUAAGCCAAAAUAAAUCCCUCCUUCUCACACCAUUGUGAUCUACCUGCAAGAGAUCUGCCCCUUGCCCACCAAGGCUAUUCCUCUGGCAGCUGACUGUCUGAAGCACAUGAAGCCCUUUGAGUACUGUGUUCUGGAUGCUGACUGUCUCUAUGUGAGUGAAUAUUCCUAGAGAUUUUCUUCCUGACAUGU